CUUCCAUGGAUAAGGAGACUUGGUCUGAUUAUAAUUCAGAACCAUCUCCACAAAGAGAACAUGCACCUUGCAUCACAGCUUCAUUUGUGGCAGAAAUGGUGAGGAUUCYGAGUAGAACAACAUGCCAAUAGACAACCGGCCGAGCGGGGAAGGCUCCUGCUGCCCAUGGCCGUGCCGGCUGCACGGCGCCUGCGGCCUGCGUGUGGCAGCGGGUUCUGCUGUGGCUGCCCCGAUGAAGGGCAGCGACUG